UCCUGCAGGUCUGGUCUGUCCUGCAGGUCCAGCAGGACGGACUGGACCUCCAGGUCCGGUCUCUCCUGCAGGUCCAGCAGGUCGGUCUGUCCUGCAGGUCCGGUCUGUCCAGUAGACCCUGUCUCCCUGAUCCCCUCCUGAUUCGUCUCUCCUGCUCAUCAUGAACGGUGGUUGGACCCAGACUGGGUCCAGGCGGUCUGCUGCAUUUGAACCGCCUCCCUGCCGUUUCUGGAGCAGGUGGUGGUGGGACUCCUCUGAGGACCAGAACUCCUCCUACUAAUGAACUUGACCAAUAAGCAGAUGAUGGAAUGUAAAGAGGCCUUAACUCAGCUGUUGAUCUCUUUUUGCACUGAAAUAAAUCCAACCGUUAGAACCCG